GCUUAGGGCCUACACACGUGCUACAAUGGGUGGUACAAAGAGAAGCCAACUCGCGAGAGCGCGCCAAUCUCAAAAAGCCAUCCUCAGUUCGGAUUGGAGUCUGCAACUCGACUCCAUGAAGUUGGAAUCGCUAGUAAUCGCGGAUCAGCAUGCCGCGGUGAAUACGUUCCCGGGCCUU
rnacentral:rRNA from 1 species